rnacentral:rRNA from 1 species
GGGAAAGCGAGCGGCGGAUGGGUGAGUAACACGUGGGGAACCUGCCCCUAAGUCUGGGAUACCAUUUGGAAACAGGUGCUAAUACCGGAUAAUAAAGCAGAUCGCAUGAUCAGCUUUUGAAAGGCGGCGUAAGCUGUCGCUAAGGGAUGGCCCCGCGGUGCAUUAGCUAGUUGGUAAGGUAACGGCUUACCAAGGCGACGAUGCAUAGCCGAGUUGAGAGACUGAUCGGCCACAUUGGGACUGAGACACGGCCCAAACUCCUACGGGAGGCAGCAGUAGGGAAUCUUCCACAAUGGACGCGAGUCUGAUGGAGCAACGCCGCGUGAGUGAAGAAGGUUUUCGGAUCGUAAAGCUCUGUUGUUGGUGAAGAAGGAUAGAGGUAGUAACUGGCCUUUAUUUGACGGUAAUCAACCAGAAAGUCACGGCUAACUACGUGCCAGCAGCCGCGGUAAUACGUAGGUGGCAAGCGUUGUCCGGAUUUAUUGGGCGUAAAGCGAGCGCAGGCGGAAAAAUAAGUCUAAUGUGAAAGCCCUCGGCUUAACCGAGGAACUGCAUCGGAAACUGUUUUUCUUGAGUGCAGAAGAGGAGAGUGGAACUCCAUGUGUAGCGGUGGAAUGCGUAGAUAUAUGGAAGAACACCAGUGGCGAAGGCGGCUCUCUGGUCUGCAACUGACGCUGAGGCUCGAAAGCAUGGGUAGCGAACAGGAUUAGAUACCCUGGUAGUCCAUGCCGUAAACGAUGAGUGCUAAGUGUUGGGGAGGUUUCCGCCUCUCAGUGCUGCAGCUAACGCAUUAAGCACUCCGCCUGGGGAGUACGACCGCAAGGUUGAAACUCAAAGGAAUUGACGGGGGCCCGCACAACCGGUGGAGCAUGUGGUUUAAUUC